rnacentral:rRNA from 1 species
UUUUUGUUANGAAAAAUAUAUUAAAAUAAUACCUGCCCAGUGUUUAAUAAUAAAUGGCCGCAGUACCUUGACUGUGCUAAGGUAGCAUAAUCAAUUGGCUUUUAAUUGAAGUCUGGAAUGAAAGGAUAAAUGAAAAAUCACUGUCUUAUUUUUAUUAAUUAAAAUUUAUUUAUAAGGUGAAAAUACCUUAUUUAAGAAUAAAGACGAGAAGACCCUAUGAAUUUUUAUUAAAUAUUAAAUAUUUAUUAUAUAUUUUUGUUGGGGCGACAUUUUAACAAAUUUAACUUAAGUUUUUUAUCUAACGUUUAUAUAAAUUAAAUUUAAAUUACCUUAGGGAUAACAGCCUAAUUUUUUUAUA